UGUUUAAUAGAGCUGUUCUGACUUGAUGUACUGCGGAUCAAAUCCAACCACGGCAGUACAACAAGUCAACAGAUGAACUGAAUAG
rnacentral:pre_miRNA from 1 species